GGACUUAUGAUGAGCUGUGUCUACUGAGCACGAUGAAGGAAGCUCACACUUGAGUGCUCUGAAGUCC